GUAAGUGCCUGUGUACUUACCUACCAACUCCUGAGACCCCUUCAAAAGCUCAGCAUCAGGGAGUUUCUUUGUCCACAUUCUUCCUGUGGCUUUGACCCUGUGUGUUCUCUAAAACUAGACCUGUGCCCUGGUAGCAAAGGGGCAUGCAAGAGGUUGGCAUGUAAGACAGACAAUAAUGUAUCAGCAGGAACAAGACAACCUGUGCCAAACAGAGAUACACUAUGAUAGGUGGAAUCAAACCACGUUAUUCAGCAACAAAGAUUGGGGAGGUAUGCAAAGAGAAGAUCUGCACCAGGCCCCAGUUUUGAAAGUCCUAGGACCUAGAGGGACAGAUGUCUGGGUAUCCCAUGAUCCUGCAGUUUUUGGAAUUCCUUACAAUGAUCUUUGUCAUUUUGUGUGUUCUCCUUGACAUCAAACUUCUCGUACCUGUCAAGUAGCAAAAUGCUGCUAUUAAGAGCCACUGGGUUUAAAUCUUAGUUCUACCACUUACUAUGUUGGAUUGAAUUAUUGAGCCUGAAAUAUUCUAAAGGCACAUGUACAUUAUUUUUCUAGUUAUCUGCCUAAGAGUCAACCUUGAACAAAAAUAAAGAUAUCAGAUUUCUAUCUGCCUGACAGAGCACACAGGAUGUGGGCCUUGGCAUCAAAAUAAAUAUGAUGGUUUUAAAAUAGAUAGGAUCAGCUUAAGUUUAAUAGAUUUUUUUAAACAAUUGUGAAUUAUGGGCAACAUCAUGGAAUAAUUGCAGGAGUCCUGCCUGGAUAUGAGGUUUUAGUUCUGAGUUAUAGUUCUGCUGCCAGUAUCAACAAGCUGAUUAACUCUGAGAAGAUUAGUUGGCCAUUUCUGUGAUUUUAAAAGGGGAUAAUACCCAACAUCACAGUGACUGUGGAGAAUAAAUACAAUCCAAAUAAAAGUACUCUGUAAGUCAUAAAGCACUGUCUGAGUUUAAGGUAUUACAUACCCUCCACUUAAAACAUAGUACAGGAGCAGUGGUUUAAUUAAAGUAUGUGUCAUGGUUGGACAAAUCAUAAUUAAGGUCACUAUAAUUUGGGCAUUAGUCCAGGUAAAAGAUAAUCUUAUUACUGCACAAAUCUCCACAGAGCCUAGAAAUGCUCCUCAACUCAUUGAUGUUAGAAAAUAGAGCCUUUGCCUCUAAGUGCUCCUUUUCAACACAAAGCAGAGACCCUAUGAAGAAGGCACAGAUUUCUUCCCCCUGUGUUAGCAUGCACCGGGGGAAGAAAAAUGCUGAAGGCUGUGAUCAGCGGAUGACCCAAGGAGAGAGAUUCACACAAACCCAUGGAUAUUAAAGAAGGCUAGGCCGGGCGCAGUGGCUCACGCCUAUAAUCCCAGCACUUUGGGAGGCUGAGGCGGGUGGGUCACCUGAUAUUGGGAGUUCAAGAACACCCUGACCAAGAUGGAGAAACCCCAUCUCUACUAAAAAUACAAAAUUAGCUGGGUGUGGUGGCGCAUGCCUGUAAUCCCAGCUACUCGGGAGGCUGAGGCAGGAGAAUUGCUUAAACCUGGGAGGCAGAGGUUGUGGUGAGCUGAGAUGGUGCCAUUGCACUCCAGCCUGGGCAAAAAGAGCAAAACUCCGUCCCACUCCCCCCCAAAAAGAAGGCUAUAGGGACAUGUUAGAAAACCCCUGGGACAGAGGGAAAGCUGAGCCAGAAUAGCCUAGAAGCAAAUCUAAGAGAAACCCAAGUCACGCUCUUUGUAAAUACUUCAACCACAUUCAUACAUUAAGCCCAUAAACAUUUGCAGAAAUGAAGUGGCCAAACAGCAGUUGUUGACUAAGCAGGACAGCAGUUUUGUGAUCAGUAACUGAAGCCUCUCAAGAUCUGUUAGGUAACAAACCAGUCCAGUGUAAAGGUCUGUAUUUUACUUUAUCUAUCUGUAGCCUCUACUUAAUUUUGAGUUUCUUUAUACAGAAUGGAGCUAACCAAGAGGUUGAGGGAGUUGUAAACACAAGUCAGGCUGUACUAUGGCUGAAACAGCUACAUGUCUCCAUCUAGAGGAUGUAUUAAAACUGCUUCAUGGUUUCUUUGCUGGAUGGUACUGUGACAUUAACACCAUGUGUGUUAGAAGAUCAAUGUAUUAUGACAUAUUGAUCUUCACCAAGUAUUUCUGGCUCUCUGCCUUUUGAGUGCAUGGUAGUAUUGCACUUUCCUGUCCCCUUUGAAGUUAGGGUAGCCACAUGACUUGCUUUGGCUAAUGAAGAAAGAGUGGAAGGGAGAGAUGUCGCUUCUGAGCAGAAGGCUUAGGAGCAAGCGUGUGAGGAGCCACAUCCUCUUCCCACAUAGGUGGCUGUGGAGGGGCUCGGCCAGGCUGUGUCCCGAGUGCCUCUGAUGAGCAGAGGCCUCGAUGAAAGCUUGCUGGAAAUGUAAACAAGAAAUGAACUUUUGUUGUGUUUUGCCCUGAGAUAUUGUAGUUAUUUGUUACCACAUUACGAUCUAGCCCAUUCUUACUAUAUAGCUGGCCUUUAUUGUUUCAAAGGGAAUAUUUGACUUAUGCUAUGCUCAAAAAUUUAUUUCCUGAUUUGGGUAACCAAUUUUCCACAUUCUUAGCCCAGAUUCAUAUUGACAGUAAAUAUCUUUACGUCUGGAUUGCUAAAGCAUCAAAGCAUAUAGGAACAAAAAGCUUGAAAAGACACUGAAUGCUUUUAAAUAUUCUAUAAGACUGAGUAUUAAUAUAUCACCUUUAGGGUUUUUGUCAUAGCCUUUAAUCACUUGCCAAUUUACUUAACAUUUUCUUUAGAUUGACUUAUUUUAUUAAGGUUAUUUUGAGAGGAAUGUUUGUAUCACUAGUGUACAGGUUGAGUAUCCCUUAUCCAAAAUGCUUGGGACCAGAAGUAUUUAAACCUUCCGACUUUUUUGGAUUUUGGAAUAUUUGCAUUAUAUACUACAAGUUGAGAAUCCCUACUCUGACGAUCUGAAAUCUGAAAUGCUCCAAUGAGCAUUUCCUCUGAGUGUUGUGUCAGCACUGAAGAACAUGAAUUUUGGAGCAUUUUAGAUUUCAGACUAGGGAUACUCAACCAUUAUAUGUAAACUUAAAUCACUCACGUAAAAUAAAUGGUGAGUGAUUUAAGUUACAUAAAAUAAAUAACAUAUAUAGAAAAAAUUAAAUAUAAUAAAAAUAAAAUAAUACUAUUAAAUUUAAGUUAGAAACCCCUGGAAUCUCACUCAGAGGUUUUUCCUCUUUGCUAAAAGAGAGAUGUUAGGAAGUGUUGGCUAAGUCUGACAAGGUGUAAAGCCAUGUAUCAUUAAAAAUACAAGAAAUGCUAUAUGAAAUAGCAUACUCCAAAAGUUACUAAUACAUUUCCAAGCUUAAAAAAAUAAGAUUAAGUCCACAGGUGCCAGAAAUAAAGAGUUAUUAUAGAAGGCUGAUAAAAACCUAGCACACAGGGUUCUUGCACUGGACACAGGACUUAGGGUCUCACAGCAUAAGGGACCUCCUGGUGAUGGAAGAAAGGCCUAGACCUGAACUUCUAUAUAGGGCUCUGGACCUUCAGGAACUUUCCCCUUAACAAAAAGGGGAUGGAAAAAAACUCUCUCCUCUGGCCUUGGAGGUUUUGGGUAGAAAAUAAAAAGCAACCAGUAGGAGCUGGAGACACUAGCUGUGGGCCGCUCAUGUCUCAAUUUAUAUUACCUGAAUGAUGUAGAAAUGAAUCAAGAAAUUAAGAUGAAAAUUCAUCUAGGAUCACUGAACACCUAGGACCCUAGGGUUCCAAAAGAAUCAGAUGUGGGCCAGGCACGGUGGCUCACGCCUGUAAUCCCAACACUUUGGGAGGCCGAGGCAGGUGGAUCAUGAGGUCAGGAGUUCAAGACCAGCCUGGCCAAGAUGGUGAAACCCCAUCUCUACUAAAAAUACAAAAAUUAGCCGGGUGUGGUGGUGCACACCUGUAAUCCCAGCUACUUGGGAGGCUGAGGCAGAAGAAUCACCUGAACCCGGGAGGCGGAAGUUGCAGAGAGCCGAGAUUACAUCACUGAACUCCAGCCUGGGCAACAGAGCAAGACUCUGAAUCAAAAAAAAAAAAAAAAAAAAGAAAGAAAGAAAGAAUCAGAUGUGAAACCACUUGGUAGUGCUUACUUCUACAAGCAAGUUUCACUGGAAAUCCAAUUAGGUGCAAGAAAAAACUCUCUGAAAGAUGAGCUCAUAUAAAAAAACCCUAUAAACUACACUUGGGAAAAAUACUUUGAGGCAUUUCCAGGAGAUGCAAUAAAUAGAAAAAUUAGCAAUAAAAGUAAUAAAAUAAAAGAAUAGCAUGAAAGAGGCCAUAAUGAUUAAAGAAUAAUAUCUAAACCUUUGUUGUGUUAAACCACUGAGAUUUGGGGUUGUCAUAGCAGGUAAUGUCACCAAGACCUCAGUAGCCAUUCUGCUUAAAAAAGAAACAUCUAAAACAUAAUAAUGCAGAAGUGUUGACAAGAAAGUGGUAUUUUUAAAAAACAGAGAAAUACUAAACACAAGAAAGCAUUACAAUAUUAUUAUUAUUUAUCAUUAUUGUUAGUAUUUUUUGGUACAGUCGUCCAGGCUGGAGUACAGUGGUGCAAUCUUGGCUCACUGAAGUCUCCACCUCCUGGGUUUAAGCGAUUCUCCUGCCUCAGCCUCCCAAGUAGCUAGGAUUACAGGCACCUGCCACCAUGCCCAGCUAAGUUUUGUAUUUUUAAUAGAGAUGGGGUUUCACCAUGUUGGCCAGCCUGGUCUCAAACUCCUGACCUCAGGUGAUCUGCCUGCCUCAGCCUCCCAAAGUGCUGGGAUUACAGGCAUGAGCCACUGCACCUGGCCAGCAUUACAGUAUUAAUGCCCAGCAAAACAGACUUCAGAAAAGGCAUUAUUAAGGCUAAAGAAAGUUAUUAUUUAGUGAUACAAGGAAUAAUUCUUCAGAAGAUGUAAUAAUUGAGAGCCAAUGUGUUCUUAACAACAUAGCCUCAAAAUAUGUAAAACAAAAAUUGAAAAUACAUUAUAAGGCAAAAUAAAUUUCAUGGGGUAAAAUCUGAGUAUACCUCUCAAGAAUUUAUAAAUUAAUUUGAAAAGAAAUAUAUAAGAAUAUGGCAGAUCUGAACAAUGCAGUAAUAUAGCUUGAUCUAAUGGAGAGAUCUGCAGUCAAUAAAAACACAGUUUUUUUUUUUUGAACUCACCAAAACUUACCAUACGUGAUGUCUCAUAAAAUACCAAAAGUCAACAUCACAUGUACUAUAUUCUCUGACUUCGGGGCCAUACCUCUAGUUAUCAAUCACAAAAAGUCUCCAAUCACAGUUUGGAGACUAAAAAACACACGUGUAAGUAACCAAACAAUAAAGCCCUGCACAUCCAAACUUGUGAAAGCAGCUAAAGAAGUUCCUAGAGGAAAAUAAAUAGCCUUAAGUUCAGAUUUUAGGAAAUAAGAUGAACUGAAUUAGCUAAGCAUUCAACUCAGCCCAGGAAGUUAUAAAAAGAAACAUGCUCUUAGGUGACUUGAUGCUAUUUAUGCUAAAUCUUUGCACCUUCUCUAAUGAUCCUGAAUACCACCAAAUGGAGAAAGAACGGUGAUAGAAAUGGAAGUCUCCAAUUUGAGAAUGAAGCCCACGUAUAUUCGUAGAUUGUGUGUUUCUGAUACUUACAUUUCUUCAUAUGGAAGGCUAAUUGCAGUAUGUGACAGAGAAUGAAGGACAACAAAUGCAGAACUUUUGGACAUAAAUGCACCUUCUUGCCUUUAGAACAGGUACAAAAUUAAGCCCAUUCUGCAUUUUGUAUUUUUUCAACGUAUCUGAAUCUGGAGGGAUUUGACUGUUGUUGUAGGAUUAGCUUUGCCUGAGAUUAGGUUCUUUUUAACAGGAAAUGAGCAGUGAGCCAAGAGCUGGCACACACAUACCAGUAGCAUUUCUAGAUGGUAAUGUUUCCUGACAGACACGGAUAUCCAGCAGCAGGUGGCACCCCUUUUCAGGAAUAACCACUUUUACAAGAUUGGCCACUGAAAUAUAUACCUCCAUAAAAAGUAAAGUAGCAGGUCAUGACAUGGGGUCCAUUGUUCUUUAGAAAAAUACUGACGGUUAUGCUGAUAUAUUUUGGGAAAAUGAUUACAUAAAGAGAAAUAUCUCUUGUGUUAAGAGUUCCUUAAUACUCUCCUGGCUUCUUUCUAGUCUAUUAAGAUCUGCUGGACUGAUAAGGUUGCUGUCUCUAGAAACAGAGAUAAAAAGAAAAAAGAAAACACAAACAAAACCUUUCAUGAGGUGCUUGCCUUCCCUCGUUAAGAAUAUCAAUUAGCCUAUGGGCUGGAGGACUGCCAUUUGAGGGUUCUUGUCUGAUAAAGUAGGCUGCUCCAUUUAAGCCAGCAGUACAUGGCACCCUGUGAACCACAGAGUACUUAUCAAAUUACUCAAAGUAGGAGGUGAGACUGAAGCAGCACUGAGCUUCACACUUUGCCUAAUCAAGCUAAUCCCAAGACAGGAAAUGCUACAAUAGGAAGCUGGGGUCAAGCCCAUGAAAUAACGCUCUUUAGCAACAGUUCGCUAACCCAGCUGGGCCUCUCUCAUCCUAGAACAGGUAAGCACUGUGGCCAGGCAGGGAGAAGCAUCUUAGAAGCCAGCCAGCUGAAGAGAGAUGAAGGAGGGAGGUGAGAGCUGGAAACUGACUGCACACAGUAGGAAGAUAAGCGCCGAGCACUCGCCCAGACACCUUCUUUAGGGAAUGUGCAAAACUGCAGAAACCACAGCUAAACAUUCUCAGGUUCUCAGAGGUGGGGGACACGACGCAGCCUCCUUACCCAGGGUCAGAUUCUAAAAUUCUGCAGGGAGCAAAAAAAUCACUUGUAGCUCAAUGAUCCUCAAACAUUUUCUUGAAUUGUUCCCUGAAUAGAGUGUACAUGGUUUUGCAUGUCAAUUUUUUUUUCUUUUUACAGUGAGGCUUAAACAUGAAAAUUUGAGGAACGCUGAGCAGGAAUAGAAGGAAAGCCUACAUUUUUAUCAUUUCAACCUCUUUGCUUUUCAGAGAAUAAUUAACUCCUUGGCUGUGAAUGAUGGAUGCAUGGAGAAUUCUACCUCUUGCCUGCAGGCUAUUUGCUAGCUUCUUUUAAUAUUUUUCCUAUAACCUUAAGAUCUAUGAAUAGAUUUGUUUGUUGUGGAGAAGAUUAAAUUAGAUGGCAUAAUCUCACAUUGGAGAGGGGCAUAUACUUAUUUAGGAAGUGAGUUUACAGUUCACAACCAGGAUGGCUCAAAGGGAUCUCAAACUGAACAUGUUCAAAACCUAAUCCCACAUCUUCCUCUACGCAGAUCCGCUACAUCCUACCUUCUCUGUGACGACUUUGAAAAGUGUCCAUGAAUUCUUUGACACUCUUUUCAAAAGGUGGAGCCUAAUUUCCCGUCCCUUAAGUGUGGACUGAUGAUUUGCUUCUAAAGAACAGAAUAAGGUGGAAUGGAUGGUGAGGAAAAUGAGGCAGAGAAUGAAACAUUUCCAUCUGGAUGACCAAACCGUCAGCUCCUAAAGGGCCGCAGAGGCUGAGGGCGCUGCUGGCAGCCGGCCCUCUGUGGACAUUUGCUGAAUAAACAGAAGAUAUGUGCACCAGUGUUCGCUCCUUUGGGUGAUACCAUCCCAUUUUUAUUUUCUGGAUUUCCUUCCUGAUGGGUCCAUUGUUCCUCAUUUUCCUCUAGCAUUAAAUUCCUUUAUCUUUUCAUUCCCACACAGUCGCUGCCUGUGGUUGAAAAUUGAGUCACCUCUCAGGCCCCAGUGACUUUCCUGGAGAAGUCCAGGAAGCAGGCCUGCUGCAAGAUCCGGGCAAAUUCCUGGAAUCCAUUCCCCGAGGUCAGCAUAUGAGCUCAAACCUGGGACUGACCGGGGCAGACAUAAGAAGGAACACUUCCCCCACACCCCACGAGGAUUUGCACUCGAGUGUUCCAAACCAUCCUGGGGCGAACGGGACACAGUGGGGAACAACUGGUCAUAUCUUUAUGCCAGCGUUUGCCAGAGCCUGCGCCCAGAGAACCAGCUCCACAGAUCUAUGCCAAAAGGCUCUAUGCCAAUUAAGUUUGUGAAGCAUCAUAUAUUAUAUUCUCUGGGGAUUGGCCGGGCUUGGGGGCUCAUGCCUGUAAUCCCAGCACUUUGAGAAGCUGAGGUCAGGAGUUUGAGACCAGCCUGGCCAACACGGCAAAACCCCGUCUCUACUAAAAGUACAAAAAUUAGCCAGACGUGGUGGUGGGCGCCUUUAAUCCCAGCUACUCAGGAGGCUGAGACAGGAGAAUCGCCUGAACCCGGGAGUGGAGGUUGCAGUGAGCCGAGAUGGUGCCACUGCACUCCAGCCUGGGAGACAAGAGCGAGACUCCAUCAAAAAAAAAAAAAAAAAAAAAAAAAAAGGAAGGAGAAAGGGAAAGGAGGGAGGAAGGGAGGAAAAAAGGAAAGGAAAAAAAGAAAAAAUGAAAAGAAGAAAAGAUUUCUUGGUCAAAAUGAGACAUACAAAACCAAACAUUUCUAGAGGACAUCUCAGAGUCUGUAACAGAUUCUUGGGCAUUAUAAAGACCUUCCUUGGCCGGGCACGGCGGCACACGCCUAUAAUCCCAGCACUUUAGGAGGCCGAGAUGGGCGGAU
rnacentral:lncRNA from 1 species